AAGUACAUACGUUUUUGGCUGAAGACAGCAGGCAGGAGCAAUCCUUUAAAACUCGCCCGCCGAGGUCGGAACAUCGCAAGAUAAUCCUGCGGUCUCCGGGUCUUCGGCCAGAGACCGCAUUUUGUUUUGUGAU
rfam:Schwartzia succinivorans DSM 10502 genome assembly, contig: EJ98DRAFT_scaffold00003.3